UACUCAAGAUCUUUAUUGAUUUGACUGUAACAGCAACCAUUGGUGAGAAUUUAAUUUUCCCCCUAAUUUCCAAACACCUGCUGGUUUAGGACAGUUACAAAAACAACAAAACCCCAACAGAAGUGAUCAUGGACUCACAUAGGACGGCCUCAAGCCCGCAUGGUGUCCUCUGCUAUCCAUCCACGACAGUGAAAUGGAGGGGGAGGCGGUGGGGGGAGGGGGGGCAGAGGACAAUGACAUCAAAGGACAAAGGGAAGACCAAGGAAAGUACUGGCAGUCUCUACUUUCCAUUCAGAGUGGAUGGAGCUGGGCCGCUGGUGCCACUAAGACGGGGAAGGGCAUUUGUUUUAGAUACAAAAUAUUUUAAAGAUGCUCAAGUAGACACCUGGAUAUGCGAGUGUCCUCUGGGCUCCCCCAAGAUGCCUCCAAUGAGGCUUGCCCCUGGGAUGCCCAAGUGGGAAGUGGGGGGUGGGGGAGGUAGGGGGGUGCUCUAUCUUCAGGGGAAGGAAAGGCACUGGCUCACAGUACUCAGUGAUUUGGACAUGGCCACCAGGAGCAGGAUGGCUUAGGAGUACAACCCGUCCUCAUUUUGUGUUCCUCCCCCACCCUCCUGGUUUCAAGUAAAAACUACCCUUGGCCUGGGCUUGGGUUUUUUGUUUUUAAAGGUUAAGAUGUAGAGGAAGGGAUACACUGGGGGCAAGAAUGAAUAUUCUGUGCUAGAUUCAUGGAACUCUAAGUCAGAAGUGUCCAGGAAUUCAGGGAGUAAGCACCGGCAAGAGCUCCCUUUGGAAAUUUCAGCGUGGCCAAAUGAUUAUCAAGCAUUGCAGCAUCUGUCAGCCUCCCCACUCUUAGAAAGGCGGCAGAGUGAGAAUUUAAAUACCCUAGGAACUGCAUUUCACCUCGGCAACAUUUCCCACUGGCCAUCCAUACCCCGUGGUCUGCUGGGGGCGGGGGGGGGGGGUGUCAGCAGAAGGUAAGCUAAGAAAAACCAUAGACCAUCUGAACAGGGACUCAAGAAACCUCUUAAAUCUAGCUUCACCGCUAGGCUAGGUAUUCACUUCUAGGACCAGCCCAGAUAAAGAAAUUUAAAUUCCAGAGGGCGAGAAAGGUGACAUGAAUGAUUCUUUGAAAAAAGAAGUUUGUGUCCAUCUCCUUAAGAGUCUCCCUAAGAAAUUCCUGAGCUAGCCUCAAGGAAAACUCAGUGCUAAACUGGAAAAUCCUUACUAGAACAGGAAAUGCCCCUGGGGCAUAAGAAUUCAAAAAGAAUUGUGACCCAGUUGCCUCAAGAUCUGAUUUCAUCCUUUAUUAAGAGCUGAGAGGUAAAGACUCGGGAAUGGGGCGGGGGUGGGGAGGGUUAACCACACCCCUUCCAAAGUCCAGACAGAAACUGCCCUCCCAAAGAAACCAUGCUUCUUCAAAUGAUUACCGGGUCCCAGAUGUCAUGGGUGGGCAAGUGAUUGGGUUUCGCAGAUUAAUAAACAGCUGCUAUGCCUGUAGUCCAGAAACCUGCCAAGGGGGGCAAAUUCUGACCCAGAUGGAGAGGCAACGGACCGCCUCUCUGCAGGAGAAUGCAAAGGGCUCAGGGCCCCAUGAUGCUUGACAUGCCAUGGAAUACCCAAGAAGGGGAGAAUGGGUUCUGGGGUGAAACCCACACAUACAGGCCGCGUGUAGAUGUACCAAAAGGAAAGGUCGGAUGGUCCCAAAGAGCUGGUAACCCACUCAAAAGAAAAUGAAAGACCAUCUAUUUUGACUCCAUCCCAAAAUCAGAAGGAAAAACACAAUGCAGGUGAAAGUGCUGUGAAGAUGGGCUCCUGACUUGUGGAGAAAGUACCCCUGUUCUUAGGGCUGCCUCGGCAGCAAUGCUUCCUAGUCAAGUUCAUGCUCCAAGCAGGGCCAGAAAGAAGAUGCCAGGAAGAGGCAGAGCUUAAAGCCAGACAGGAAUGUGCAUCUCGUAGAUGUCUCAAGUCUCUAAAACGUGGUUGGGCCUGGGCGCCAGACACCCAGCAGACUUUCACUAAGUAUGUGUUCGACGGACUAGGCUCACCUGUUUCUCUCAAGGGUGAAGCCAGGACCGCUUCUUUCUCUUUAAGAACACAUUUCCACCAGAGAGCCCAAGACGAGGUGGGCAGUCAAGAUACACGGUGGGUUUAAAGGAGCAAUCAAGCACGGACCUUUCUAAAUCCCAGAUGUUCCCCACCACAUCGGAGAAGUGGCUUCUUGGGGGAGACCCGAUCCAAAUCUGUCUCAGCUGGUGUGGCUGCAGGGCCCAAGUCCUAACAUCGACUCUGAUAGGGACCUGGCUUCCAGAUGCUGAUGCUAUCACCUACUUCAUCCUGAAUCUGAACUGUGAAGCUUUUACUCAGCCCAGGACCCCAACAUCUCAUUCACAUUUCUUCCUUUAGUUUAGCAACUCUGACUGCAAUUUAAGUCCGUUUUAGUGGCUCGGUAAGAAGGAUCGAAUUCCCUUUAUCAGUUCCUGGCUAAGGGAGAUGCAAAGAUGUGGUACGGAGGAGUCUCAGAGACAUCAAGCCUAGGACUCCCAAUGAAGAAUCCUUGCACCGCUGCUAGCCAGGCAAAUGUAUAGCUCUUUUUAUUCUCUUGGGAAUUGUCAUUUCUUGUCACCACUCUCAAAACUAGCAGGUGGCUUUGGGGAAAGAGUAUCAGUCUUCUAUCCAGUUUGGAGAUACAGUAGCAACAUAUCGCUUUGUGUUAUCUAGUUUAAGCUAACCCCUGUUGGGCGGACUUUAUCCUCUGUUGGGGGGGGGGGUGAGGUGAUUUUAAGAUACAUCCUCAAAUUCUUUGAUACUGUUCCAUUCAUAGGUGGUGUGUAUCUUCCCCUCCCCUUGUGUGUUGGCCAGGCUUCAUAGCUUGCUUCUAAGGAACACAAGAGGUGAUGAUGUGUGCUAUCAGACAGCAAUGAAAGGCACUGCAGAUUCCUUCUUGCCCUCUCCCUGGGAUCACCUGCUCAGGGGGGAGCCAGCUGCUAUGGUGUGAGGACACGUGUGCUGCUCUACAGAGCGACCCAUAUGGACAGAACCCAGGCAUCCUGCCAACAGCCACAAAAAUGAGAGCACAGUAGAUUCUCCAGCCCCAGAUGACUGCAGUCCCUGCCAACAUCUUGACUACAACUUCCUGCAACCCUGUGCCAGAACCAUCCUGCUAAGCUGUUUCCCAAUUCCUAACCUCCAGAAGCUGACAGAGGUUUGCUCUUUUAAGAUUUAAAGUUUGGGGGUAAUCUGCUACACAGCAAUAGAGAACCAAUACAGGUGGAAGAAUAAAACUCUGGGCUUCACAGCCCAGCACCAAAAAGCCAGCUGCUCGGCAGUAUGAUCUUGAGGACAUUUAGCUAAACAAUACAAAGAAGUGGUGAUCUCAGCAAACCAUAGUGUAGCACAGACACUUACUUGUACCAAGACAAUUGCAUGUCUCUUGCUGGAAUUUGGAGGGACAAGGUCAUUUCUCAUUAAGAUGGAUUGUCCUCAAAGGUACAGAAACAUGGUUUCCUCAUCAAAAGAGCAAAUGAUCACUGAGAUUUUAUGAACCAUUUCAUGCUAAUUGUCCCCUAAGGGUUCUCCCUCCCCAUGAGAAGGCCAGGACAGAUCACUUUCUUCUGGAUGUGGCUCGCCCUAAGAAAAAAAAACAUUUUGUGAUGCAUGGCACAAAGGUGUCAUCCAUUACAAGUUAAUCUGUUGCCUUCUCAAACCAUCUUUAAAAUGCAGAUUCAUGCAGGUCACAGUAUCUCUCAGCAGUGGCCUCCAGGACAGAAGAGUACCAACCAGUCAGUAGGUCCUUGCAGCAAAGGCUGAAGGAUCAGGCCGCUGCUCUAUCAUGCAGCUGACGCUCGCUCGCCACAAAUACUAGAAAAACGGCCUCCGAUUAGGGAGCUAUGUGGAAAGAUUCCCCAAGAUGGCAGAAAAGGGGGAAAAGGGCACCUCAAUAUUACUCAAGCUGGCAUGUUUUAAAUCCACUCCCCCGCUGCUCAGCGAGGAGGCCAAGUUUUCAUGUGUACCGAUGAAGAUCAAGAAGGGGCAAACCUCUGCUCACUGCUCGACCUGCUGGAGUUGGAGCUGGGUUCCACAGGAUGCCAAAGCCAGCUAUGAAGGACAAGAAGCUUCAUUCCCAAAGAAUCAAGCUUCCAGGGGACAGAGGGGUGCUGAUUAAGUUUCUCAUGCAAAUGACAGUGCAACUCAAGUUUUUCCAAGAGUAGGGAAAGCGAAAUUCGGAGUUUAAUUAAAAUCAGAACAAGGAUACAUUACAAAAAGACAAGAAAAUGCUUCUCUGAUUAAUUUUUUUAGUCUGAAAGCAUCCCCCAAAUUUUGGAGAGCCAGCUUAUUCCUGAGAAACAUCAACCAUCACAAAAGGUUCACUCUCUGAACUAUUCACAUUUUGUAGUAGAAAACAGAACAAAGUUCCUCAGACAGCCUUCCUCUCUUCUAAAAUGUGUUCAUAAACAGGGUCUUUUCAGAGUUCAAAAGAAAAACUAACAGCUCUCUUUCUUAAGCCAAUUGGCCUGUUCCUCUCACCCUGGGAUGUGAUCUCUUAAUGAGAGGGUUCAGGGCACCAAAUGCAACCAGAAAUUCCCAGGACACCAGAGGCUACUUUACUGGUCUAGGAGACAGAGGUGUUAGUCUUUCUACGAGGGGGUCACUGUCCCGGGAUUAUCGUGCCAGUCAACAGCUGGGAGGGCGUGGCGGGGGGGUACGGGGGACAUGAAAAAGCGAGGGGGGGUGAAGAACGAGGCUUCUCGUGAACAACCCACGGCAAGGCAUAAUGGUCCAGUUUUACAAACCACCCACUACAAAUUGCAAACAUGCACACCCCAAACGAGAGGGAGAAGCAAAGAGCUCAUCAGGGACUGGCGGAGACAAAGGAUGGUGACAUGGAACAGCAGACUCGCCUGUGGACGUUUCUCACCUCCCUAACACUGGAAGAUGUGUAAUCAAAAAGUUGCUGUUCAAAAUCGUAUUGAAAACAUAUCGAAAAAUAGGUCUGUAGUCAUCUUAAAAAUAAAAGAUCACUCCUCAGA
rnacentral:lncRNA from 1 species